UUAAUAUUAUGAAGAGUAAGUACACUUCUUUUGUAAAAAGAAGUGUUUAAAAGGGAAGUCGGUUUAAAUCCGACGCGGUCCCGCCACUGUAACAGAGAGUAGCCUUACAAAUGUCACUGGAUUUUCGAAGGGUAGGUACAACGGGAGUAAGAGAGAUCAAGCCUGGGUAACCAGCCUUUGUUACGUCUUAGAG
rnacentral:ncRNA from 2 species